UGAAAUUGGAGAUUGUUCACAACCAUUUGCUAGACAAGAUCCUCUAAUGAAGGUCUGUAAAGUGCAGAGGUGGAAACUUGGGGAGUGGUAUGUGGUUGUGCCAGGGGUAUAACUAACUGUUGUUGGGUGGGAUGAUGGUUUCCAUAUAUAAGGUUUGGAUGGUUCCUCCAAUUGAGAUGGUAUUUGUUGGUGGACAUGUCAGGAAUAUUUUACCAUUUAUGAUUGUUGCUUUGGUUGAAAAAGUUAGCUGCAUAUUGAAGCUAGCGGAAAUAUACCCGAAUGUAUCGCACGCUCAAACAUACAAUAGAGUCGCCAUCGAACUUUAUUUAUCCCCAAAGGGGAGGGAAAACAUCGAUAAAACCGGGGGGAAAGAGAUAUGCUGGGUAAGGAAGUCGGUUAUGCAAUGGGAAGGUAUUAGCAUCCCAAACAUCAAUGGUACUCCAUGGGAACCAUUUUGAUUGUUCUCGCUUGAAUAAGUGUGAUAUCUAAAGAUUACUCGCA
rnacentral:lncRNA from 1 species